rnacentral:rRNA from 1 species
UACGAAGGGGGCUAGCGUUGCUCGGAAUCACUGGGCGUAAAGCGCACGUAGGCGGAUUGUUAAGUCAGGGGUGAAAUCCUGGAGCUCAACUCCAGAACUGCCUUUGAUACUGGCGAUCUUGAGUUCGGGAGAGGUGAGUGGAACUGCGAGUGUAGAGGUGAAAUUCGUAGAUAUUCGCAAGAACACCAGUGGCGAAGGCGGCUCACUGGCCCGAUACUGACGCUGAGGUGCGAAAGCGUGGGGAGCAAACAGGGAUUAAGAAACCC